rnacentral:rRNA from 1 species
UACGAAGGGGGCUAGCGUUGCUCGGAAUCACUGGGCGUAAAGCGCACGUAGGCGGAUUGUUAAGUCAGGGGUGAAAUCCUGGAGCUCAACUCCAGAACUGCCUUUGAUACUGGCGUGCUUGAGGACUGGAGAGGAGACUGGAAUUCACGGUGUAGCAGUGAAAUGCGUAGAGAUCGUGAGGAAGACCAGUGGACGAAGGCGGGUCUCUGGACAGUUCCGUGACACUGAGGCACGAAGGCCAGGGGAGCAAACGGG